GCUGGGCAUGGUGGCACAUGCCUGUAGUCCCAGCUACUCGGGAGGCUGAGGUAAGAGGAUUGCUUGAGCCCAGGAGAUCAAGACUGUAGUGAGCCAAGAUAGCGCCAUUGCACUCCAGCCUGGGCGACAGAGUGAGACCCUGUCUCAA
rnacentral:SRP_RNA from 1 species